UUGACCUACGGGGCGCAGCAGUGGGGAAUAUUGGGCAAUGGGCGCAAGCCUGACCCAGCAACGCCGCGUGAAGGAAGAAGGCUUUCGGGUUGUAAACUUCUUUUCUUGGGGACGAACAAAUGACGGUACCCGAGGAAUAAGCCACGGCUAACUACGUGCCAGCAGCCGCGGUAAUACGUAGGUGGCAAGCGUUAUCCGGAUUUAUUGGGUGUAAAGGGCGUGUAGGCGGGAAUGCAAGUCAGAUGUGAAAACUAUGGGCUCAACCCCUAGCCUGCAUUUGAAACUGUCCGGCUGGAGUGCAGGAG
rnacentral:rRNA from 1 species